UCCAAAAGGAAAUAAAACAUUUGUAGAGCACCUAUGUUCUGCGAAUCGUGGCCUCUUUCUACAGCAGAUACACAAUAGGAGGGACUGGGAUCAUUCGAGGAGCGAGCCAUCGUUCACACAUACAAUAAAUAGCCUGCUAAUACCUUAGCUAGCUAUUAACCACAUGUUGAAUUCAGAAUGUUGAUAUCAUCCUAAAAAGUACAAUUACAAGUGCAUCUUAACAAUACCAUCCACUUAUGAGUAACCUCUAAAUACACAUCAUUAUUCAUGAACAAAACACUGUGUGUAUGACUUUGUACUGAAAAUAAUCUAACUUUUCUGAAGACAUAAAAAGCGUGACUACCUCUCUCAGUACAUCAAAAUGAUUUGAGCACGCAGGGCAAAACGUAAGAACACACUCCACUUCAGCCAGGAUGCAGGCAUGCAUAAUAACAAAUCAACACGAUAUAUUAAUAUAUGAACCUGGUGAAAUUCACAUAGUACUUUAACAACUGUUACAUAUGCAUACUAUAUACAUAUGUAUUUACAACAUUUACAAACCAACAGCCUGCAUUCAUCCAGUUUGUAUAAAUUAUGAUAGAUAUGUGACAUGAAGCUAUAUUGGGCAAUUUGGGCAAAGGAGUAACAAUGACUGUCUCGGACAAAUAGACAUUUGGCUUAAAACAUUUAUUAAUUCAUGGGCAAUAUGUGUGCAUGCCCUGAUCAUAUCAGCUUACUACAUCUGUCUUCCCUCACCAAACCCAUCAAUGAUUUGAUUUAUUUGACUAUAAUAUAUCAAUUAUGGCCAACAGAGGGCAACAUUUAUCCAUAUAAUACGAUAUAACCUCACCGAACCUAAAUUAAUUGGGUUACACUGUAAAAAAAAUUCAGAUAUCGUAUGUGAUCAGAAACAAUGCAUUAAUUUCCCGGAGUGGUCGCUCUGUGCUUUUGUAGUUGACGUAAUAAUGUACGAUGAGAUAUAGAAGCCUAUGACGUAAACGAACUCAAGAAAAUGUUCAGUGCGCUACUUUUGCCUCAGUUGAGUUGAUGCUUUGCAAAGGACAGUCAUCCUCAUGUUCAAAUAAAUCACUUUGAGUGGACAAAGAAGACAUUCUGUGUGAGUACAGCAUAACUGGCCAAGAUGUUGUAAAAAAAAUGUUUGAAAUGUAUUUUAAAAUGUAUUUGUUUAUUUGAAAAAAUGUCAGGUCCAAUCUGAAGGGUGCCUGAAAGCACAAUGGAUAGAAAUCAUAAACCGUUGAGAAAAAUUAUUCUAAAAGCUGGGACCCUCCAAGCUAGUGCUGGAGAGCAGGUCCCCCAGACAGACAUCACUGACCAUGAUGGAAAGGCAGAUGCCCAUUCCGCUGGCCAUGAUGGACUUAGCCUGCCAGCCCUGGUCGACUGCCUCCAGGGUAGCCCUCGAAUGGCAGAUGCCCAUUCCGCUGGCCAUGAUGGACUUAGCCUGCCAGCCCUGGUAGACUGCCUCCAGGAUAGCCCUCGAAAGGCAGAUGUCCAUUCGGCUGGCCAUGAUGGACUAAGCCUGCCAGCCCUGGUCGACUGCCUCCAGGAUAGCCCUCGAAAGGCAGAUGCCCAUUCCGCUGGCCAUGAUGGACUUAGCCUGCCAGCCCUGGUAGACUGCCUCCAGGAUAGCCCUCGAAAGGCAGAUGUCCAUUCCGCUGGCCAUGAUGGACUAAGCCUGCCAGCCCUGGUAGACUGCCUCCAGGAUAGCCCACGAAAGAACCUUGUGCCGAAGCCCCCGCAAGGCCCCAGGCCCAGCCGAGAGGCAAAUAUAUCAAAGGCAGAAAAUAAGGCCACAGAGGUUAUCAAGGCUAGAAGGUCUAGGGAGGCUAAGUCAGGGGUGAAAAAACUAAGCCACCAAGUAGUUGGUAUGUUGGCACUGCCUCAAACUCUAACUCAAACAACCAGUUACAGUGUCCUGCCAGCUAUCAAGAAGGGCACUAAAGUUACCCUCCAGUCCUCCAGCUCCCUCUCCGAUGACAACAAGGAGGCACUAGGGGCCGUCUGCCAGGUCCUGACCACCAGGGUGGGAGACAACAGUACCUGCAACGACGAUUACAAAGCCAGGCUCAUCAUCCAGAAAGGAUUGGAUUCCGGUGCCAGGGAUAGGUUCCCUGACUCUCCGUGUUCCUCUUCACCCAAGGACGAAGAGGAGGUGGUUGUAAGUGUCAUGACUGUCUCAUACCCUAAACCCUCCACUUCAACCCAGGCAGCAUGGGCAGCUCCUGCCCAGACUCUGGAAAAAGAGGUGGGGGGGACUGAGGUCUCUGAGAUGAGUGACAGCUCCCUGAUGCCCACCAAGAACAGGCAGGACCCCCUGGAGAAGAUUCCCUCCCUCCUACCAGGCAAGGAGCACAUCCUCCUUUGCAGCACUCCCUGGGCCACCGUCAUGAGCCCCCAGACUCUGAAGUUUAUUCUCCACGGCAUCAUGUGUCGACUGGAGGCCUCAGAGUCCCCCCAGACAAGGAGGGCCAAUGACCCCUUCAGGCUGAUGAAGGAUCUCUUUGUGGAGGUCCAGCAUGCCCUGAAGUAUGCUGACAUCUCUGUCGUCUUUGGCCUGGAGGAGAGCAUCCAAUUCAGUGGUGAGGAUGCGGUGAAGGCCAUCGUGAAGACUGCGGCUAAAAGAUUGUCCCUGCGUUCGGACUCCAACCGGGCUCAACUGCGUGCCGCACGCUCUGGUAGCGAGGGAGCCAUCAGGUGCAUGGCGGACACCAUCACACAAGUCAUAGAGGACUGGAGUUUCGAAGGCCAUUUUGGAGCCAGGAGGAGCCGUGGUAGUGGGAGGUCACACUCCUCAACCUCCUCAAGGAGUGACGUCACCCUCACCGAGGAGCUCCUGGCUUGGAGGGAAACUCUAGAAGAGGACCUAGAGGAGAUGGCUGAUGACAGCACUGGUUUGGAAAAGACCAGGGGGAGCUCAGCCAUCUCUGAAAAGUCCCAGGUAAUUAGCUACCUUUCUGAAAGCACCAAGCCCAUCAGCAGCGCCCUCUCCACAGACCUCGAGGACAUCACCUCCACACAGGUGAGACGGCCAAGAACCAGUAGAUCGUUUAGUUAUUUGGGCUGUUUGAUUGUGAGGCAUCGACUCAUGUCUGUUUCUCUCUUUACUAAGAAGAAAGAAAAGGAAGAGCCUAUGAAGAAAGAAGUGAGGAAGUCAGGAAAGAAGAAGCGAGGAAAUAACAAGAACCAGAAGAAGAACAAGGUGUCUCCUCUUGGCAAUGAUAGUACUGUGGUUGCAGAUGAGCCUAAGAAAAAACAGGCUCUCCUCCCACGGAUUACAGCCGCCCUGGCAAAACUAUUUUGCUUCCCCUGCAAAAAAAAAAUGCAAAAGUAACUGUGCAGAAGACGAGUUUGGGAAAACCCUGCUGCCACCUCCCCCAACCCACUUUCUAAAUAAACUCUCAAAGCCAACAGAAGAGGGAGGGAGACCCCCCCUACUCACAACUAAUUUUAUUAUACCCCAUUUAAUUCAAUAAACACAACUUGCAGCUAUUUUGAUUUUCUUCUUCUUGAGUUUUUGUUUUACAGACCCACCUGCACGCUAUAGAUUCUUAAGGUCAAUUUGCUGUCUACUGUCUACUACAGUAUCAUUGUUAUGAGUAUGUUCACUGUGCCAGUCAUUAUAGCCAGUAUAGGCUAUAAUAAAGCCCUAACCUAAUUGCAAUUGACAUAAUAAGAGUUACAUUUGAAUAAUUCCCUCAUUUUAUAUAUAUAUUUUUAGAGGGAAUAAAUCUCUAAAGCACUAUAGAGUGCCGUCCCUAGGAGGGGUGCGUCACUUGAGUGGGUUGAGUCACUGAUGUGAUCUUCCUGUCUGAGUUGGCGCCCCCCUUGGGUUGUGCCGUGGCGGAGAUCUUUGUGGGCUAUACUCGGCCUUUUCUCAGGAUGGUAAGUUGGUGGUUGAAGAUAUCCCUCUAGUGGUGUGGGGGCUGUGCUUUGGCAAAGUGGGUGGGUUUAUAUCCUUCCUGUUUGGCCCUGUCCAGGGGUAUCAUCGGAUGGGGCCACAGUGUCUCCUGACCCUACCUGUCUCAGCCUCCAGUAUUUAUGCUGCAGUAGUUUAUGUGUCGGGGUGCUAGGGUCAGUUUGUUAUAUCUGGAGUACUUCUCCUGUCUUAUCCGGUGUCCUGUGUGAAUUGAAGUAGGCUCUCUCGAAUUCUCUCUUUCUUUCACUCUCUCGGAGGACCUGAGCCCUAGGACCAUGCCUCAGGACUACCUGGCAUGAUCACUCCUUGCUGUCCCCAAUCCACCUGGCCGUGCUGCUGCUCCAGUUUCAACUGUUCUGCCUGCGGCUAUGGAAUCCUGACCUGUUCACCGGACGUGCUACCUGUCCCAGACCUAUAAUUUGACCAUGCUGGUCAUUUAUGAACAUUUGAACAUCUUGGCCAUGUUCUGUUAUAAUCUUCAUCAGAGGUUACUCUGCGACAGCGGUGCUGAUACUGCUUAAUUUCUCUCUUGUCGACUUAAUACAGUGGUCUUCAUUUGCAUCUUUCCGGAAAGCGAAUAAGCCCCUCAAAUGGAAAGGGAAGGCAACAAAAAAGAAAAUAGCCGAAAUAGCCUACAGUUUUACCCACAGAAAUAAGAGGACACAUUGUAGCCUCUUCGCUUGCGCGGCUCCAUUGCAUAUAUCGUUAUACAAUCGUUGCAAUGUUUUGAAUAGCCUUCUUCUAUCACAUUGCACUGCAAGACAUAGGAUUGAACUGACAUUUGAAUUGGUGACAGAUACUGGAGCAUCAUCUGCAGCACGAGAGCCUGUUGUACAGGUAGCAGCCAUAGGCAUUAGCAUAUUGGCCUGAAAUCCGUGCUAAGUGCCAUCACACAAACCGAAACAGGCAAAAGCCUAGUAAUUACAUCCUCAGCCAGUUCUUUGUAGCCUAUACAACGCAGGUUAUUUGUCCUUCAGAUGUAUUCUUUUUGCUAGUGAAGGCAUGUUACAGCCGUUAGAAUAUUGUAGUCAGAAAUGGGUGUCCCUUGGGUUGGCUCUACUCCAAAAGAUGAGAGCGAAAGAUCUCAAACAUUUUAUUAUGGAAGAGGUAUUAUGGCUGACUAUAAAAAAGUGAAGUAUUCUGCCCCAAGCAUCUGCAUUCAGUCUUUUUGGGGACUACUUUUCAAAUAAUAAAUUACCUUGCAUUUCAGGCUAAUUAUUUUUUAUAUUAUAAACGCUAGAAUAGAACAGACUAGAGACAUGCACCACCAAGUGAAAGCGCGGGGUAGAUUUCACCAGCACAGGGUGUGUUGAGUGAGAAAGUCAUUUCUUUUAACCUUAUCUAGGAAAUGCACUCAACAUACAGAGAGUGAAACACUAACUCUCUAGAAAACAAUGACCUGAUCUUCACACAUCCUCAUGACCUUGUUUUGAAAUUAAACACUAUACGAGAUUAACACACACGGAUGGGACAUUUGAACAUUACAGCUCAGUAAAAGUGACAGUUGGCAUUUACACACAGCUGUGUAAACCUCACUUCUUUCUCAUUAUCCCUGCUACUUGCUGUUGUUAUGGCAAUCCAUGCUAAGGUGAACUGAAUGAAUGGUAAACUAAUAUGCCUUUGUGAUGUUGUCAGAUUAAGUCUUUGUGUUUUACACCGGCUUGGCUGUGGCAUGCUUCUGCUGUACAAAACUGCUGAAUGCCACAAUAAGGACCGUAGUAGGAGGGAGGGAUAUCAUAAACCUGUCCUGAUGUCUGUGUCUGUCUGUCUGUCUCUGCAUCUCGGAGGUUCUGUCUAUCUGUUCGUCACACCGACUCUCUCACUGUGGUUGGUUGUAGCGAUCAGCAGAGGCCUGCCCUGUGCUGAAGGUUCCACUCCAUUAUCCUGUUGACGCUGAGAUACUGGGAGCAACUCCAUGACCUGACAUAUCAAGUCUAAAACUCCAGUAUCCUGCCCUACUGCAGCUACUACAAGCUCCCUUCUAGUCUGUUGUUCAUAUUAUUUUGGAAGCACUUUACAUUACAGCACGGAAUAAAGCGGAAAUGGAAUGGCAACUGGUUAAAGUUACUCACAAAGCAAACCAUUAUUUGCCCAGAUACAGGAUGCUACAGAUCAGUAUAACUGUAUUGUUUCCAAGACAUCAUAUACUAGAGGGGUGAUAAUAUUACAAAAACAACAUUGCAAUGUUUCCUCUAAAAUUCCCCAAAUGUCUUGGCAUGGGGCCCCCAAUUGAUUUUGUUAUAAUGUUUGAGUCACUCAGAUACACUAUAUAUACAAAAGUAUGUGGACACCACUUCAUAUUAGUGGAUUCGGAGAGUUCAGCAACAUCCUUUGCUGACAGAUGUAAAAAUUGAGCACACAGUCAUGCAAUCUCUGUCACGCCUUGGUCUUAGUAUUUUGUGUUUUCUUUAUUUAUUUGGUCAGGCCAGGGUGUGACAUGGGUUAUUGUGGUGUGUUUUUUGUCUUGGGGUUUUGUGGGGUGUCUAAUUAGUCUAUGGCUGCCUGAGGCGGUUCUCAAUCAGAGUCAGGUGAUUACCGUUGUCUCUGAUUGGGAGCCAUAUUUAGGCAGCCAUAUUCUGUGAGUGUUUUCGUGGGUGAUUGUUCCUGUCUUUGUGUUUGCACCAGAUAGGGCUGUUUCGGUUUUCACUUUUUCUUUAUUUUGUAGUUUCCGCUUGUAUUGUUUUUUCCUUCAUUAAAAUUAUAUCAUGAAUCAUCA